rnacentral:rRNA from 1 species
UUAUCCGGAAUUAUUGGGCGUAAAGAGCUCGUAGGCGGUUUGUCGCGUCUGCCGUGAAAGUCCGGGGCUCAACUCCGGAUCUGCGGUGGGUACGGGCAGACUAGGGUGAUGUAGGGGAGACUGGAAUUCCUGGUGUAGCGGUGAAAUGCGCAGAUAUCAGGAGGAACACCGAUGGCGAAGGCAGGUCUCUGGGCAUUAACUGACGCUGAGGAGCGAAAGCAUGGGGAGCGAACAGG